ACAUGCAGUUGAGCGCUGAACGUUAGAACUUGUCCGACUGGAUGAGCAGCGAACGGGUGAGUAACGCCUGGGGAAUCUGCCUUUGAGCGGGGGACAACAUUGGAAAACGAAUGUUAUUACCGCUUACAAACUUUAAACACAAGGUUUAACCUUGAAAGAUGCAAUUGCAUCACUCAAAGAUGAUCCCGCGUUGUAUUAGCUAGUUGGUGAGGCAAAGGCUCACCAAGGCCCAAGAUACAUAUCCGACCUGACAGGGUGAUCUGCCACAUUGGGACUGACACAACUCCCACACUCCUACGGGAGGCAGAAUAUUGGAAUCUGCGGCAAUGGACGAUGCACUGACCGAGCAACGCCGCGUGAGGGCUUAAGGUUUUCGGAUCCUAAAACUCUGUUGGAAGAGAAUAACGUUGGUGACAGUGGAAAGCUCAUCAACUGACGGAAACUACCCCGAAAGGGACGGCUAACUACGUGCCAGCAGCCGCGGUAAUACGUACGUCCCGAGCGUUGACUGGAUUUAUUGGGCGUAAAGCGAGCGCUGGUGGUUUAUUAAGUCUGGCGUAAAAGGCAACCUGCUCAACCAUUGUAUGCAUUGGAAACUGGUAGACUUGAGUGCAGGAGAGGAGAGUGGAAUUCCAUGUGUAGCGGUGAAAUGCGUAGAUAUAUGGAGGAACACCGGUGGCGAAAGCGGCUCUCUGCCCUGUAACUGACACUGAGGCUCGAAAGCGUGGGGAGCAAACAGGAUUAGAUACCCUGGUAGUCCCACGCCGGUAAACGAUGAGUGUUAGAUGUAGGGACCUAUAAGUUCUCUGUAUGGCAGUUAACGCAAUAAUCGCUCCCCCUGGGGAGUCCGCCCCCAAGGUAGAAAUUCAAAGGAAUUGCCGGGGGCCCCCCCAACCGGUGGACCAUGUGGUUUAAUUGAAACCACCGGGAAGACCCUUCCCAGUUCUUGCCAUCAUAGUGCUAUUCAUAGAGAUAGGAAGUUCUUUGGGGACUCGGGAUCCAGGUGGUCCAUGGUGGUGGUCAGUUGGUGUCGUGAGAUGUUGGGUUAAGUCCCCCAACGAGCCCAACCCCUAUUGUUAGUUGCCAUCAUUAAGUUGGGCACUCUAAGGAGACUGCCGGUGAUAAACCGGAGGAAGGUGGGGAUGACGUCAAAUCAUCAUGCCCCUUAUGACUUGGGCUACACACGUGCUACAAUGGAUGGUACAAAGAGUAGCGACCCAGUGAGAUCUAGCUAAUCUCUUAAAACCAUUCUCAGUUCGGAUUGUAGGCUGCAACUCGCCUACCAGAAGUCGGAAUCGGUAGUUAUUGGGGAUCAACAAUCCGCGGGGAAUUCGUUUCCGGGCCUUGUUCCCCCCCCCCGUCCCCCCCCGGGAAUUGGGAGUCAAAGAAAUUGGUUACGCUAUACCGCAAGGAGGCGCAUCAUACAG
rnacentral:rRNA from 1 species